CAAUGUCUAUUGGAUAACCGAAACAAUAAAUUGAGCCCUACAUUGGUCAGCAAAAAUUGACAAAUGGAUGUGCUCAACACUGGUCAGUAUAACCGACAAAUGGGCUGCCCAGCAUCCCCGACUAAUAGUUGUAUAACCUUGAACUAUUCCCAUUGUAUAGCAUGCCAAUUAUACUCGACCCUACCCGAACAGUUAAUAAGGUAACAUAUUUCUCAAUUCAUUUCACAAACUAAUUCCUCAAUAUCACAUCCCAAUUUCAUCA
rnacentral:lncRNA from 1 species